rnacentral:lncRNA from 1 species
AUCUCAUCCACUCAAAAUGAAUCGACCUUGGUCAUUGUGUAUGAUGAUGGUCAUUGUGUUUUCAUGUAAUCAUCAAGUUUGAGGAUCAUUGGGUACAACCACAAGUUAGGCUACCUAGGUGAGGUUGGUCGAUCCUCCUAUGGGCCCAUCUUGCUCCAUUUUGUUCCAAUUUUUACCUAUGGCCAAAUACACACGAAAAACAUGUGGAACCCAAACAAAUAAAUCCUAUCACUAUAUGGAGGUGACCAUGGAAUAUGUAAUUUUAAUAUUAUGUUGAUAGUAAAAAUUUAGUAAUAAGAACAACAAAUAGAGGGCAUUGCUAGCACCAAUAUUAUCAUGUCAUGUUUCUAUAGUAUUCUUUCAAAGAAGCAGGAUAAGUUGGAAGAAGGGGGACAUUGUUUGUUAUUAUCGUGCACUAUAACAAUUGCUCCAUGUGACAGUUUGCUAUCAAGAAGGGGAGAAUGAUAGAACAUUAGUCCUUUGGAUACAAAUAUCCCUCCUCAAGAUGGGUGAAUUACUAGAGUUCAAGGAAGACAGUUUACUCUCUAAGUGACCUUAGUCUUAAGUACUUUUUUAUAUUAUGUUAAUAGAUUGCUAGCUAAUAAUGAUAUUAUUAUCCUUAGGGACUAUGGAGAUAUAAAGGAGUACUUGGAGAGAUGCAUGGAGGUGGAGAAGAUUGAGAUGGGUGUCCAAGCCAAGUUGGAGGCCCAAACCAUAUCAAUUUUGAGUCUACCUCAGACUCCAAGAGUCAUCCGCAUUAAAAUCAUCAUUCAGAUCGCACAUACGAGCUCCCUUUUUAUGUUCUGCAUUAGCAUGGAAAGCAAAGAAGAUAAGAAUUCCAAAUGGCGUCAGUCUCAUACUAAUUCCUUACAAGUCAUGAGGAAUCCUCAAAACCAGUGAGAGUCCAAAGUUUAUCAAGGUGCUAUGCAUCAUCUUCUGGUCAUUGAGCCAUUACCAUAUCAAAGUCCACUAAGGAUGCAUAUAGGGUACAUGGCUGCCCCUUAUACCGUAUAUUCACUAGAUAAUGACCAAGUUUGGGUUUAGAUUUUUCUUAGGUUAAUAUUUCAUCAAAUAAUAUCAUCAUACAUUAGUUUUAGGAACCCUAACUUGUGAAUUUAAUCAUUCUUCUACAGUUUGGUUUGUGUCAAUAUUGGUCUCUCUUGUGUUCUUGAUUCACAGACAGGGAUUAGCCUUCAUGGCUAGGUCAAUUGGGUAGAGCACAACUGAUGACCAGAGGAGAUGUGGUGCUAUGAUUGUAGGGGUUUAGGUCUUUGUGAUUUAAAAUCAUAUCAUGUGUGUCAAUUCUCCACCAAAUUAGAAGUUAUAUUCACAUUGAUAGCAGAACAUUGGGAACCCUCAUUCUCAUCAAGUCAGAAAAAAUUGCUUUGGUUAUCCUUCGAGCAAAAAUAGCUUUACACCCCAUAUUGAUUCAAGUCUAGGAGCAUUUAUGUACUUGCUUUGGUUUUUAUCUUAACUUUCUUUGUUCCUUGAACCCCCACUAUUGAGGAUUAUAUUUGUAAGUUGUAAAUAGUUUUAUCAAUAAAAUUCUAGUAGGGGGUAAAACCGUCAUGUUUCCUCAAAAAAAUUGCCACCAAAUUGGGAGUAAUCUUCAACUGAUAAAAGAUUGGGCACCCAUGUUUCCAUCACCUAGUACAACUCCAAAGUGAGAUAUAAAAGAAGCUAGUGAUAACUUAGCUCAUAUUAACUAAACUAAAAUUUUAGCACUUCAAAAUAGCAUAUCCUUUCCAAGGUGAGAGUCAAGUUCAGAUCACACUGUUAGUGUUGUAACAAAACACUUAUCCACAUGUGGUGGAUCACGUCCACUUGAUAAUGCUAUCAUCCCUAGUUGGGCUACCAUAACUAUUUAUGACACAUAAAGCAAAAGCAUCCAAGCUCUAUCCACAAAUGGAUGUUAUCUUAACAAUUCACAUGAUAUUACAUACUAAAUUACUUGAGAGCAUUGGUAUGCAAAUCCUUUAUGUUUACACAAAUUAGUGAGCUGCCUCAAGUUGUAUAUCGAUCCAUAGUAUUCCAACAACUCAUGCAACACUACAAAUAAGUAACACAAUAUUAUAGAGUUAUUUUUAUGAAAAGCAAGAAAAGGACAAUAAUCCUUGACAUGUAAAGUGAAGCUUAUUAGAUUACCUAACCCAACACAAACAACAAAAUUAGUUGCACAAAGGUACAAAAAUCCACAUCAACCAUUAAAUCAAUACGUAAAGUGAGUAAUGAGUCACAUUAUCCAAUAAAAUAUCUAUCAAAGUAGUAUCGUGCAAGCAUUGAGAUCCCAUAAAUGCAAGAAACUCUACCAUCAAAGCUAUAAGUAAUUCUCAUGUGUUUGCUUUCAUUCAUCACAAAACAUCCUUCUAUUGCUACCAUCAAUAACCCUUCUGCUUAGUAGUAUAGGUACCAAAUCAGAUCUGCAACAUCAAUUAUUAUUGAAAUCCAACAACCAUGAAGGAGGUUCUUGUGGUUUUUGCUUUCAUGGCUCUAGUAUCGAGCGCUGCCUGCACACAGAUAGGCGGUUGCACCUGUGGUCCACAACAAAGCCAUGAACAACAACAUCAUCCACAAAAACAGCAACAUCAACCACCACCACCACAACAACAACAACAACAACAACAGCAUCACCAACAACCACAGCACCAACAACAAAAAGUUCACAUGCAGCAGAAACAACAUCACCAACAACAAGAUGUUCAUGUUCAUCAGCAACAAGAAGUCCAUGUGAAACAACAACCACAGCACCAACAACAACAUCAAUGUGAAGGCCAGCAACAGCAUCACCAACAAUCACAAGGCCAUGGGCAACAACAAGGACAGAGCCAUGAGAAACAACAUCAACAACAAUUCCAGGGUCAUGAGAAGCCACAACAACCACACCAGCAACAAUGUCAGGGUUAUGUGCACCAACAGCCACCGCAACAUCAACAAUGUCAACAGGGCCAGGAGCAACUACAACAGCAUCAAUGUCAUUGCCAAGAGCAGCCAUUGCAACAACCAAAGCACUGCCAAAAAGGGUGUGAGCAGCAACAAACUACAAGGUGCAGUUCUAGCUACUGUAGUGGUAGCAUAAAUCUAAAAAAUUGCCAUGAAUUCCUCAGGCAACAGUGCAACCCUUUGGUAAUGCCUUUUCUCCAAUCACAUUUGGUACAACCAAGCAACUGCCAAGUGUUACAACAGCAAUGUUGUCACGAGCUUAGGCAGAUCGAGCCACAAUACCUUCACCAAGCGAUCUAUAGCAUGACUCAAUCCAUAAUCCAACAACAACAACAACAACCAUGUGAGUUUUGUGGAGCUCAACUAGCUACUCAAAGUGAGGUGGCGAUAUUGACGGCAGCGCAGUACCUACCAUCAAUGUGUGGCUUGUACCACUCAUGCUACCAAAACAAUCCAUGUAGCAGUAAUGAUGCUUGUGGUGUUCACAGUUAAAUUAUUGUGGCUAGCUAGCCGUUAUAGUCUUAUAACGGUGUAAAGCAAUAAAAUGCCAUACAUCAUGGUGUUUGGACAACGAUAUCUAAAUAAGAAUACUAUCUAUAAUGUGGCAUGUGCCUGUGGUGUCAACAACCUAGUCUUUGUGGUCAUAGUAGAUAGGGUAGUUUGUUGUUGAGCAUGGUUGCGCAUAUUAGUCAGUGUGUGGACAUAUGUGGCAUGUGCCUAUGGUGUGAGCGACCUGGUCUUAGUGGUCACGAUAGAUAGGGUACUUUGUUGUUGAGGCAUUGGCUCCUAAUUGUAAUCCUAUUUCUAUGUACAUAAUCCUAGCAUCUAAGCAUGUAGUUGGCCACAAUCUCAUGAUCAGCCUCUAGUGCUUUGGCACCUCGAUAUCUACCGUGGCAUGUGCAUGUGGUGUUAGCAACCUAGUCUUAGUGGUCACAACAGAUAGGGUAGUUUUCUGUUGGGCCAUUGGCUCCUAACUGUAAUCAUAUUUCUAUGUACAUGAUCUUAGCAUAUAGGCAUGUUUUUGUGUACAUGAUCCUAGCAUCUAGGAAUGGUGGCUAGCCACAAUCUCACGAUCGACCUCUAGUGCUUUGGCACCUCCAUAUCUACUGGCACACUGUGACAAAUGGAAAUUGAGCAUUCUCUAAUUUCCCUCUCUUAUAAUGGGAAUGGCAAGGACUACACACUCUAAUUUAUCACGUCAUCUACUUCUGAGGGGAGCUCAAAAUAAUGAGGCCGGUGGAUCUAGUGUAGCUCAAGAUAAUAUUUAUUUACUAAUGACCACCAGCCACACAAAUGUUACACCUUCUCAUACAAAGUCUUUUGUUGAGAUGCAACAUAAAAUGGUUGCCAUGUAGACUCAUCUUAUCUAGAUGCAAAGAAAGUGAAAGGUCCUAAUAUGGCUAGAGGGGGGGUGAAUAGCCUAUUUAAAAAAAAUUCUACAAACUCACUAGAGCAAAAGGUUAGUAAAUAACAAAGCCAAGCUUUUUGCUCUAGCUCUAAAGGGGUGUUUGCAAGCCACCUACCCAACAAUUCAAGUUGCUAAGAUCUCUAUGCACACAAGAACUAAGACUUUACAAGUUACACUAGAGAACUAAGCUACACAAGUCAAAGUAAGCAACUAAACUAAUUACACUAGUUUGCGGUAAGUAAAGAUAAGAUGAGAUAUUUAUACCGCCGUGUAGGGGAUGAACCAAUCACCAAUAUAAACAAUCAAGCACCGGGAGAAUGCCAAUCAAACACAAUUGAGACACCGAUUUUUCUCCCGAGGUUCACGUGCUUGCCGGCACGCUACGUCCCUGUUGUGUCGACCAACACUUGGUGGUUCGGUGGCUAAGAGGUGUAGCACGAACCUCGUCCUCACUAGGACACCACAAAAACCUACCCACAAGUGAGGUAGCUCAAUGACACGAGUAAUCCACUAAUGUUGCCUUUGGCUCUCCGCCGAGGUAGGCACAAACCUCUCACAAUCACCGGGAGAUGGCCACGAACAAUCACCAACUCGUGCCAAUCCUCCUCCGCUGCUCCAAGCCGUCUAGGUGGCGGCAACCACCAAGAGUAACAAGAAAACCGCAGCCAAAUCGAUCCCCAAGUGCCACUAGAUGCAAUCACUCAAGCAAAUGCACUUGGAAUCACUCCCAAUCUCACAAAGAUGUUUAAUCUAUGAAGGAGAUGAGUGGGAGGAGUUUGCUUAGGCUCACAAGGAUGUCAAGUAUGUUAGAAUGCCAAGAGUAUGAGCCCCAAGCCGGCCAAACACAUAUUUAUAGCCCCUCAAACAAAUAGAGCCGUUGGCUCUUUCACUGGGCAAAACUCGGGGUCACCGGACGCUCUUAAAGGGGCACCGGACGCUCAACACCAGCGUCCGGUGCUCCAACAACAGCCGCGUGUCAGAGCCUAACGGUAACCUGCAGAGCACCGGACACAAGCCACCGGACGCACCCUCAGCGUCCGGUGCUCACCGGACCCAUGCGCAGAGGGUUCCGCAAACUCGCAGGUUCACCGGACGCAAGCCACCGGACGCACCCUCAGCGUCCGGUGCUCACCGGACCCAUGCGCAGAGAGGGUCGCAAAACGCACGCACACCGGACGCACACCACCGGACGCUCAAGCCAGCGUCCGGUGCCUAUCGUCCGGUGCCUUACCCUAGCUGGGCCAGGCACUGUCUGCACACCGGACGCUCAUACACAGCGUCCGGUGCCUCUAAGCCAGCGUCCGGUGAGUGUUUUCUCAGCGAGAAACACUCCCGCGACUUCACCAAAUUUCCCUCCGGCGCAAUAGAAAAUAUGCACUUCAUUUUCUCGAAAAGCGCCGAAUCCCGCCUCGCAAGCUCGGCGGGAGGGAGAGAGGAACCCAUCCUCUCUUAACCCUUCAAACUUCAACACCCUUCUCAAAGUGUGCCAACACCACAAUGUGUAAACCAACAUGUGCACGAGUGUUAGCAUUUUCACAAUCAUUUUCUUCGAAGGAGUUAAGUUAGCUCACUAGGUUUUAAAUGCAUGCACAUGAACAAUGACACCUAGUGGCACUUGAUAACCGCUUAGCCAAAGAAUUCCCCUCUUUAUAGUACGGCUAUCUAUCCUAAAUGUGAUCACACCCUCUAUGGUGUCUUGAUCACUAAAACCAAAACCCUAAGCAAUACCUUUGCCUUGAUCUCCAUAGGGUUUGUUUUUCUCUUUCUUCUUUUCUAAGUUGAGCACUUGAUCAUCUUGUGGUCAUCACCAUCAUCACCAUGAUCAUCACUUGCUCCAUCACUUGGCAUGUACCAACCUUAUUAAGUCUACACACACUUAGUAUAGAGGUUAGUACUUAGGGUUUCAUCAAUUAUCCAAAACCAAACUAGGGCUUUCAGAAAGGAGUCAAAGAAGUUUCGAUGCUUAGCAACAUUGUCCUGACAGCCAACACGAGGCUCUCACUUCAUCCAUUAGAGGGCAGAUGCCCUUCUUGACCAACCGAGGAAGGACCAUGCUAAGACAUCCUCUCAGUUGAACUAUAUGUAUCCACAGACAAGCCUUGGACCCCCUCGAUAUUGGCAAUCCUUAGCUUGAAUAAUUUUAUCACUAAUUUCCAUUCAAGAUAAGAAUUAAAUUACAAUCACGAUAGUCGAUAGUUAUAGGGUUUAAUUAUAAUCAGUUCUACAAGUUUGGCGGUCAUUUGAACUAGACAUUUUUUGCCCAAACAGGGGUCGGACAACCAAGCCCAUGGUAUGUUGAUGUUAUACCCGGUUUUAAGAAUAAAACAAGAAUCAAUUUGCAAACAUACAUCAACAUCAUAAGUGAAGAACAAUUUAUUAAAUAAGCAAAAAUAUAUAUUGGUUUUUGUUUCCUAAAAAACAAGUUUAGUCUAUGAAGAAUCAUAACUAAUUUAAUUUAGACCGGACAAAUACGAAGCUACUAGUUAUUUUUAAAACAUGAUACCUAUCAAUUGGUGAUCUAUUAAGGUCUAUUUUGGAACUUAUUAUUUUUUGUACAUAUUGUUUUGUUGCUCGUACUGAAACACUAAGAACAUGCACAAAUACAGUUCAAAUAACUCAAAAAGGAACACCAAUAGAUAGGUAACAUUUAAAGCAAAAAAUAUAAUUGUGACAUAUUUUUAUAAUUUGAGAUAAUUACUUAAGGGUCUGUUUGGAUAUCAACUACCAAAGCAGGAGGCCCUACCUAUAGUUCUCUCAAUUUGGCAGCGCCUCGUACGUGCUUGGUGCCAUAACCAGAUAACCAUGUUGUGCUGAUUGCAAAAAGAGCAUUGUGUGUACACUAAUCAGGGAUAGCAGAUAGUAGUGCGCAUUGUGACCGGUCUCAAGGCACCACUACUUGUCUAAAACAAGUCACAAGUUUCAAACGUCGGAGAUUGGUCAGUGGUCUCCUCUCCUGGUCGAGUAUUUCUAUUCUUUUCUUUUACUAGCAAAACGUGCCCGUGCGUUGCAACGGGGUAUAGAAUUUAUUAUUUGAUAAUUGUACACUUUUUGUAAAAUUUAAAUGAGUUUAGUCCAACCUGAAUCAAAUAAAUAUAACCCCACCAAAACAAACAAAACUACCAAACUAAUAUCGAAAAUCACCUUGAGAAGAAAUAGAAAAAAAAUCAUGUCACAUAAAAAAAUCAGAAAUCUUUAUGUACAGUGGAGGAAAAGGAGUAAAAAAUGAUAUAAAAAUAUGUAUAGAAAUUAAAAUGGGAAGAAUAUUACGUAAAGAAAACAUAAAAGCAUCAGAUGAGGGAACAAUUCCAUCAAACAGCACGUCAGAUCACUCCACUUUUAUUGUCGCUCAGUGCAAUCCAAAGCAAAACCCGCGGCACAGCUAGUGACAAAAGCCUACAGCCACAGCCGCCACAUAAUAAUACAAUUAAUAGGUAACGGUUCUCAACAUCCUUUCAUCAUAGCAUUUGUUUGAGACAUACAUGAACAAAGCAUAUGUAAUUCCGUAUGAUUAAGAGAAAAUACCUUGUGGCCAGCAUUGAUGCAUCACAAGAGAAGGAACAGCCGAUGAGAGGGCGAUCAUCUCCAAUCUCGCUAUACUCCAGGACAAACUUCUCAGCCUGCUUCACGACGAGUUCGGCCUCCGCCUCUAGGUCUUCAUCGGAAUCCUCGUGGCAGCGCUUGGCCAUCUCAAUCCUGGCCUUGGCACGGGGUAGCGAGUAUUGUGCAAUGUCGACACGCGCCUUGAGAAGCUCCUGUGUGCCCUUGGUGAAGAAGGGGUACUGGAUCUGCUCCUCCUCGCUGGUGCGUGCAGCGUGGUUGUCCUCCUGCGCGCGGAGACGGUCGACCUGGCCAUCGGCCUCGAGCCGGACCAUGAGGGCUCGGAGGCGGUCGUGGCGCUCCAUUUCGCGCUCGCCGAAGCGGCGGAGGCAGGCCCGCACGGCCAUGGCGUAGGCACGGCGCCGCUAGAGGAGCUCCUGCACCGAUUGCUCGUGACACUACCACGCGGCGCGGUGGUCGUCGGAGACCUCGUAGUCGGCCUCGCCUCUGCCCCUGGCGGAGGAAGUGGCGGCGGCGGGACGGUGAUGGGGAUUGGCAGGUGGACGGGGACGGGGAGCGGAGCCAUGGGAGGAGUGGGGGCCGGGGGCCACAAUUUUUUUUAAAAAAGUUGCUUUUCCUCAAUUUGGUAAUAUUGCAACGGAAGAAAAAUAUCAAAUAACCUUAGAAAGUGAUGACAUAAUGUUACAUAUCUAUUUAUAUUUAUCCUUUUUAUAAAAUUUAAAGUCCAUAAUUUAUUUUAUUAAUAACCAUAACAUCUAUGGUAUUAGAUAGUUAAUAUUUACAAUAAUAUGUAGCUUAAGGACAUAUUUAUUUAAUAAUAAAAAUAGAAAAUAGUUAAAUCUUAUCUCACUCUAAUAUUACCUCUUAAUAUGCCUCAGUAUUAUAUUAAAACAUGAGAAAUUUGAUGCUAGCAUUAUUUUUUAAUUUAGAUUAAGAUUGCUAUGAAAUAUGAAUCAAGCAUCACAUUAAAUAGGCUACCAUUAAAUUUUUAUAAUAAUUGGAGCAAGAUAACUAUAAUUUUAAUUUUACAGUAAAAAGCAUAGGCAAGCAUUUUCAAAAAAAAGUGUACUAAAAUUUAUGAUAUUUUUUGUUUACCGCAUGGAUCUACAUAUGUGGAGCUGAACAAAAUUUGUUUUAUAAUUUUUAGAUUUUUGUAUGAAUUAUUAUGUAUUUAUUAAUUUUCAGUCGAUUUAAAAAAUAAAAGAAAAGUAAAUUGGAGAUUUUACAUUGGGAACCUAGAAAAUUUUUUAUUUUUUUUCUCUCUUCCAUCGUAACGAUUCUGGGCUGAUUGGGCCUACAGAGAGGAGAGCGAAAGCGAAGUAAUAUGAGAUUUUACAUUAGGAACCCUAGAAUAUUUUUUAUUUUGUUUUUCCCCUUCUAGAAAAGUUGGAUGGAGGAGGCCAUCGGUAAACCGAACACGGACAAGAUCAGGGGCAAAAGAAAAUAUUUGGCAAACUAAAAUUUUGGCUCUUUAUAGAUAGGUAUAGAUUUGGGUUAAGAACAGUAGUCGGACAUUCCACUUUGUUAAGUUCUUUUUUUACAUAACAAGAAUAGAAUCACGCUCUGUAGGCUCGUCAGACCGUACCUUUCUAAGGAAGUCGCUUUGGGUAGUUCAGUUGGCGAGAAAAGCCUUCCUACCUUUGCAGGUCCAUCGGGCCGACUACAACCCGUGGCUCAAUCCCGGUUCUUGCGGUGUCUUGGCAACAUUCUUGUUGGAAGAUACCAGAAGGUUGCUCCACGGGUAAUCUUGACACGUAUGUAAAGUGAUGAGGAACAUUGAACGAACAUUGGCAUGUAAAGCUCUAUAAAUUGGUGUUAUCCAUAACAACUCGCAGAACAUCACAAAAUUGCACGUCAAGGGAUUGGGUCAGAAACAAAUCGUCUCCGUGUACAACGAAGUGGUGAGUCAUGAGCCAUGUUGAUCUGAUAUAUACAUAGCACACACGACAUCACAAACAAGUCAUACUACAUUACAGAGUUAGUUUCAACUUUCAAGUAAAAACAAAGUAGGCCGGAGAGAGGACAAUAAUCCUUGACGUGUAAAGUGAAUUUACAAAGCCAUAUAUCAAUUUAUAUCUAAUUCGUUUCAUGUAGAUAUCAACAACCUGUAAAAGGCAACAAAUUGAGCCACGCAAAAUUACAAGUGAGUCCAAAUAAACCCUCACAUGCUACAUAAAAGUGAAUGAUGAGUCAUGUAUAUCUGGCAAGAAACUGUAGAAGCUACAGUCAUCGGUAGCAAAGAAACACAAGAAAAUGUGCUAAUAAAAGCUAUAAAUAACCCUCGUACGCCUAUGCACAUCUCCAUCACCACCACUGGUCUUCAUUCAGCCUAUUAACUUAUAUCUAUCUACUCCAGAGCAGACAAGAACUCGACACCAUGAAGGUGUUGCUCGUUGCCCUCGCUCUCCUGGCUCUCGCGGCGAGCGCCGCCUCCACGCUUACAACCGGCGGCUGCGGCUGCCAGACACCUCAUCUACCACCACCGCCGGUUCAUCUGCCGCCGCCGGUGCAUCUGCCACCGCCGGUGCACCUGCCGCCGCCGGUUCACGUGCCACCGCCGCCACCACAAUGCCACCCACACCCUACUCUACCGCCCCACCCACAUCCAUGCGCUACAUACCCACCGCAUCCAAGCCCGUGCCACCCAGGGCAUCCCGGAUCCUGCGGUGUUGGCGGCGGCCCCGUCAC